rnacentral:rRNA from 1 species
UACGUAGGGGGCUAGCGUUGUCCGGAAUCAUUGGGCGUAAAGAGCGUGUAGGCGGCCCGGUAAGUCCGCUGUGAAAGUCGGGGGCUCAACCCUCGAAUGCCGGUGGAUACUGUCGGGCUAGAGCACGGUAGAGGCAGAUGGAAUUCCCGGUGUAGCGGUGGAAUGCGUAGAGAUCGGGAAGAACAUCAGUGGCGAAGGCGGUUACCUGGACAGUUACUGACGCUCAGGCACGAAAGCAUGGGGAGCAAAAGGG